GACGAACGCUGGCGGCGUGCCUAAUACAUGCAAGUAGAACGCACAGUUUAUACCGUAGCUUGCUACACCAUAGACUGUGAGUUGCGAACGGGUGAGUAACGCGUAGGUAACCUGCCUGGUAGCGGGGGAUAACUAUUGGAAACGAUAGCUAAUACCGCAUAAUAUUGAUUAUUGCAUGAUAAUUGAUUGAAAGAUGCUAUUGCAUCACUACCAGAUGGACCUGCGUUGUAUUAGCUAGUAGGUGAGGUAACGGCUCACCUAGGCGACGAUACAUAGCCGACCUGAGAGAGUGAUCGGCCACACUGGGACUGAGACACGACCCAGACUCCUACGGGAGGCAGCAGUAGGGAAUCUUCGGCAAUGGACGAAAGUCUGACCGAGCAACGCCGCGUGAGUGAAGAAGGUUUUCGGAUCGUAAAGCUCUGUUGUAAGAGAAGAACGGGUGUGAGAGUGGAAAGUUCACACUGUGACGGUAUCUUACCAGAAAGGGACGGCUAACUACGUG
rnacentral:rRNA from 1 species